CCUACGGGGGGCAGCAGUGGGGGAUAUUGCACCAUGGGGGGAACCCUGAUGCAGCGACGCCGCGUGGGUGAAGAAGCGCCUCGGCGCGUAAAGCCCUGUCAGCAGGGAAGAAAAUGACGGUACCUGAAGAAAAAGCAUCGGCUAACUCCGUGCCAGCAGCCGCGGUAAUACGGAGGAUGCGAGCGUUAUCCGGAUUUAUUGGGUUUAAAGGGUGCGUAGGCGGGUUAUCAAGUCAGCGGUAAACUCGUGGAGCUCAACUCCAUCCAGCCGUUGAAACUGAUGAUCUUGAGUGGGCGAGAAGUAUGCGGAAUGCGUGGUGUAGCGGUGAAAUGCAUAGAUAUCACGCAGAACUCCGAUUGCGAAGGCAGCAUACCGGCGCCCGACUGACGCUGAAGCACGAAAGCGUGGGUAUCGAACAGGAUUAGAUACCCCAGUAGUC
rnacentral:rRNA from 1 species